AUGUAGCCAAGUGGAUCAAGGCAGUGGANUGUGAAUCCAC
rnacentral:tRNA from 1 species